rnacentral:rRNA from 1 species
GAUGAACGCUGGCGGCGUGCCUAAUACAUGCAAGUCGAGCGAACAGACGAGGAGCUUGCUCCUCUGACGUUAGCGGCGGACGGGUGAGUAACACGUGGAUAACCUACCUAUAAGACUGGGAUAACUUCGGGAAACCGGCGCUAAUACCGGAUAAUAUAUUGAACCGCAUGGUUCAAUAGUGAAAGACGGUUUUGCUGUCACUUAUAGAUGGAUACGCGCCGCAUUAGCUAGUUGGUAGGGUAACGGCUUACCAAGGCAACGAUGCGUAGCCGACCUGAGAGGGUGAUCGGCCACACUGGAACUGAGACGCGGUCCAGACUCCUGAGGGAGGGAGCAGAAGGGAAUGGUCCGCAGUAGGCGAGAGCCUGACGGAGCGACGCGGCGUGAGUGAUGAAGGUCUUCGGAUCGUAAAACUCUGUUAUUAGGGAAGAACAAAUGUGUAAGUAACUAUGCACGUCUUGACGGUACCUAAUCAGAAAGCCACGGCUAACUACGUG